GGGGGCGUACCGGUUUCGACGGAGACGAGUUGGCUGGUAAGAGCAUGCCGAGGUUCCGCAGGCCUCGUUAAACAGGCGGACCAACUAUAACUGCCAACGAUUAUCAAGAAUUGCCCUUGGCGGCCUAAGGGCCGUCACGCCGCGCCGGAUUUCUCCUCUUCAAUCGGGCGAGUGGCGUUAUACGGAAGGGGAUAGCGGGAAGGCCCGCCUUCGGCUAACCCGCGAAGUGCUCAGAAGGCUGGCGGUUCCCAAGCCGGUCCCGGCGCUUGGAACUGUGAGAUGGAGCUGAGACUAAGCAUGUAGGGCUUGCCAGUUGGACGUUUUCGGACGCGGGUUCGACUCCCGCCGCCUCCACCA
rnacentral:tmRNA from 1 species